CUAGGCGAGUGGGCGGUGCUAGGCAGGUGGGCGGGUCUGGGCUGAGCGCAUCGCAGACGCAGCUGCCCUGCAAGGCUGUGUUUUUGUUGGCGGUAUUGCUGCUGGAGCCAUUUUCCGUUUGGAGGGCUCCUGAUAGGAGAAUGCGGGUCAGCGAGUUUAGAACAGCACAGCCCUGGACACGUGUCUGUGUGAGUGCGUGAGGAGAGGGACUAAUUGGCUACUCUGAGUUGACGAUUAUAAAACCAUCUCUGGUUAAUAAAAGCGCCGCCAUCUAGCAAUUUUAGUUGUCCUGGUGGGGGAUAGGAGAUUGACCAAAGAGGAAGUCUUGCAGAAUUAAUCUACUGACGGGAAGGUCACAGGCUCAGCACACCCCGCCCCCACGAACAGUCCAUGUCCAGGAAUAACGGGGCUUCGAUUCAGGACGCUCAGAGAAGGAAAACAGCUAUUGGUAAAGACAGAGGCUUAACCCGAAGCCACAGUCGCUCCUAGACAGAGGCACGGGCAGGAUUGCAACUCGGGCGAACUUUCUCACUGUCUCGCAACUACACGGGUGGCUCUAGAAAUGCAAGCCAAGAACUGAUGGCUUCAGCGUCUUGGUGGGCUCCGGAACCGGGCUAGAGCCUUCGUUAAACCAAGAGGAAGACCCGCAAAUCGCCCGGGUCGCCGGGGGCCAAGUACAAGUUCCUGCCUGUCGUAGGACUCAGCACAGCCUCACGUGUUAUGGUCCUUGCAGGUGCUCUCUCCCGUGGGGUGCCCCGAAGACCCUGGGGGAGAACGCAAGUGGAAGUCACUAGUUUAGGGAUGGCGGGGGCUGACCGGGGCUUCGAACCAUCAGGAGCCAGUGCCCACCUGGUCACCGGAGGGACGGGGAGCCACGUCCUGGCUGACCACUCACCAGUGGGGUGGAGCCCUGGGAAAGCCACGCGGCCUCCGUGAGCCCCUGUCCCCUCGUUUCACACGGGGUCAUCACGUCCCCAGCUCAAACGCCAGCGAGGAGAAGUGGGGGCUGCAGGCCCAGCACUUGGCACAGGGCCUAUGGCUUCCUCCUUCUGUCCCCUCUGCCAUCCCCUUUAAAAGCAUUUCUUGGCUUCAGGUGGUAAGGCGAUGGUGGGUAAGAAAAGCACCUUCCAGAACCACGGUGGAACAGCCCUGCGACGAAGUCACCCGGGUCACGGCGGAACAGCCCUGCGACGAACUCACCUGGGUCACGGCGGAACAGCCCUGCGACGAAGUCACCUGAGUGGGAGUCCUGACCUCGCUUCCUCCAUGGAGACACCAGGGCAUCCUGCGGCUGGAAUGGUGAAAAGGUUUUGAGUCCCAUCCCUGGUUCCAGACAAGUUCUCAGUAGAAAGCGAGUUCAGGAGGCUGCUGGUGAGGCCCACGGCCUGAAAGAAUGUCUGGCACGUGGCCUUUCCUGGGAAAGCUGCAGAUUUACAUCCUAAGGGCAAGAAAAGAAAACAUCAAGAGACAGAGAAGCAGAGGGUUACAGGUCGCUAAGCUGCACUGAGAAUGAAGACUUUCAUUCAUCUUACUUGAAGCUGGGGACCAGGAUCAUGAAGGUCUGUAAUUGCACCCUCUUCUAUCAGGCCCUUUUUAGAAUGUGACUGGAUUAUGUCCUUUCCGUUUCUCAUGGGGAAGGAGUCAGCGAAGUGAUUGGGAUGAUAAUAUUGCAUCUUUCAUUGGAACACCCAGUGCCAGGUAUGUGACCCACAAUCUCAUCUGCUGAUUCCGUAAACGCUCAGGGCGGGUAGUAUUAGGCACUAGACUGUACCUGGGCCUGAAUCCCAACUUCCCCAUUUACUAGCAGUAACAUCUUAGGCAGCCCAUCUAUGAAAUAGGACUAAAAGAGUGCUGACUUCUUAGGAUUGUUUUGAAGAUAAAGCAAGAUACUGCAUAUAAAAGUCUUAACAUGUUGUCUGGUAAGCACUGAAGAAUGGUUAUUAUUAUUAUUAUUAUUAUUAUGUACAUGCCAGUCACUGUGUCAAGAACUUAAGGAUGAACAUGAUCAGAAUUUCCCUCAAGAGUGUUUUUUUUAAUUUAUUUUUUAUUUCAAUAGGUUUUUGGGAACAGGUGGUGUUUGGUUAUGUGAAUCAGUUCUUCAGUGGUGAUUUCUGAGAUUUUGG
rnacentral:lncRNA from 10 species